ensembl:lncRNA
CCUUCGUCAGCCGGCGGAGCUCGGCAGUUCUCUGUCUCGCUAUGUGCCCACUCCCGGCUCUUCGUCUAAGUGACCGACUGGAGCACGCUGCAUGAAGAGCAGAUGGGAACCUUAAUCCAUCUCUUUAGUAUUCUGCAGUUAUGGGAGCAAGAAAAAAAAAGGUUGGGAAAAUGCCCGUUCUUCCGUGCUUCUCGAGGUGUAUGAAAGACACGGUCAGUGCCGCAUUAAUGUUGAGAACGAGAGCGCUGAGCCGAUGUCCUGUGCCGAGAGGCAAGGGAUAGCCUUGCGAAAGGAAGGACGAACGAAAUGCACCGAAAAGGGACUUCAUUCCGCGGUUCGUUUGUCCGUUUCCUCCAGUGGUCUCUCCCAUUCUGAUCACUCCUUUUUCUUUUCUUUUCUUUUCUUUUCUUUUCUUUUCUUUUCUUUUCUUUUCCUUUCUUUUCUUUCCUUUUCUUUCAUUUUCUUUCCUUUUCUCUCCUUUUCUUUUCUUUCCUUUUCUUUUUCUUUUCUUUUCUUUUCUUUUCUUUUUUUUCUUUUCUUUUCUUUUCUUUUCUUUUCUUUUCUUUUCUUUUCUUUUCUUUUCUUUUCUUUUCUUUUCUUUUCUUUUCUUUUCUUUUCCUUUUCUUUUAUUUUCCUUUUCUUUUCUUUUUUUCUCUGCUCUUCUCUUAAUUUCUUUUUUUCCUUUCCUUUCCUUUCCUUUCCUUUCCUUUCCUUUCCUUUCCUUUCCUUUCCUUUCCUUUCCUUUCCUUUCCUUUCCUUUCCUUUCCUUUCCUUUCCUUUCCUUUCCUUUCCUUUCCUUUCCUUUCCUUUCCUUUCCUUUCCUUUCCUUUCUUCUUUCCCUUUUUUUCCCCCACUCUUUUCUUUUCCUUUCUUUUCCUUUCUUCUUUUGCUUUCUUCUCCUUCCCCUCCCUUCCCUUCCUAUGUAUAUAUGUGCAUUUUCCUUCUGCCAGUAACUCCAGGUUCUCCUUGCAACCUGUGAUAAGCUUCACUGCUGCAGGGAAGAGCCGGAUAUAACAUGCCUUUUGGAAGCCACCAUCUUUCCCUUUCUCUCCGCCAACCACCCGCGGCCUGGCGGUUCCUCCAGCGCUCAGCAGUUCCCCAUGCCGGGCGGGGGGCCGCCUGGUUCUCCCUCACCCUGACCUCAACGCGGCGCCGGGCAGGGAAAUCACCGCCUCGCUCUCACGGGCUGCGAGGGGAGGGGGGGGAAGAAGGGGGGGCAGCGCUCGAGGGGGGGCACGCAUCGUAUCACGUCACGUCGAUCGCAUCACAUCCCAUCGCACAGCAUCGCAUCACGUCCCACUGUGCGUGUUCAUUGACGCAUGUUUAUAUGUAUCAUAUGUUUUCUAUACGUUUAAUAUGUAAAAUGCGUGUUUAAAUAUACCUUAUUUAUGUUUAUGUUUUAAUACACCAGAUUUAUUGCAGUUCUCGGAGCUCACGAUGCAAAUAAAGGCAAGUUUCAGGGCUGAUUCUCUUAUUCAAUAAGCCAGCUGAAAUAAUGCAAUAUACGUUCGUUGGUAUUGAUUUGGUGUCUAUUAACGGUACGUGCAGAUCUGUACGGCUAUUUCCACACACGCACAGCCGCGUGGGGCUCCGUGCCCCCUCCCCACCGAGCGCCGGGUGUGGAGCCGUAGGCUGAGGGUCAGAGCCGGCACCAAAGCAAUAGAUAAAGAGGAGAGGCAAAUUGAACCGAACGGAACGAAAUAAAUUAAAUUAAUAAAAUAAAAGAACUAAACGAAACUAAAAGCAAUCUAAAAACUAAAAGCACCGCUGUUUUGCUUUGUUUUGUUUUGUUUUGUUUUUUAGCCACCGAGGUUUUGUCACGUUUCUCUCCGAGAGCUGCUGAGCUCCGGGACAGGGAAGCUCCGCUCCGGUGUGAGGCUGCGGGGGAAGGAUGCGGCACCCGGGGGCUGGGGAGGGGCGCUGCGAGCCCCGGAGCCGCCCGUUACCUGCCCCGCGGACGGAUGCCUGUGGCUGCGGGCGGUGACAGCUCUCCGCGGGUCGCACCUUGUAAUGAGGGCCCGCCCCGGCCACCCGGCGGCGGCUCUGCUGAUGUUCGCUUCGCCGCUCCCACCCCGCCCGGCUGUUGGAUCGGGGAGAGGCGCUGGGCUGCCGCACGGAGCCAAAAGCAGUUCCCCCGGUGGCUUCCAAAAUAGUAAUAAUAAUAACAAUAGUAAUAAUAAUCCGCCGGCUGCGAACAAGACCCGACUCCCCUCUUCACCUCGGGGCUGGCACCUGGACCUCCCCUCAUCGAGUCACCUUAUUACUUAGCAAGGAGUCAAAGUUGGCAACAUCCCUCGGCCCCUCCCGACGACAUACCCGGGUGUUCCCCUCCCUGUACCUCACGGACAGCCCGAAUGUGCGCUCUCCCAGCACGGAGCACUCGAAGGAUUCCCAGCCGGAAUCCGGUCCCUGCCGCGCAACCCCCACUUCGGCCCCCCCGGCCCCACAGCCCCCGGCGGGCCCUACCUGCAGUCAUGGAAGCGUUUAGCGGUUUCGGCGGCAGUAACUCCUAACAGGGUGUGAAAUGUAUUGCGGAUUGAAAAAGCGAUGGGAACGUGGAGGCUUUUCAAGUCGGGCGGGCCGGGGCGUUCCUCCCCCUCCGGCGGACACCUCGCGUUGCCUCCGCCGCUGGCACCCGCCCCGCCUCGGCAGGUGCGGUGCCUCUGGGGCCGGGCACAAGGCACGAGUCCAGCCCCGCAGACGCUCUCCCAGGCCAAAAACCUGAGGUCUCCUCUGUUCCCAGCAUGCUCUGGUCGAUCUUUUUUUUUUUUUUUUUUUUUUUUUUUUUCCUCUUUUUAAAUUCUUUCUUUCUUUCUUUCUUUCUUUCUUUCUUUCUUUCUUUCUUUCUUUCUUUCUCUCUCUCUCUCUCUCUCUUUCUUUCUUUCUUUCUUUCUUUCUUUCUUUCUUUCUUUCUUUCUUUCUUUCUUUCUUUCAAGUUUAAAAUGUGACAGGAUAAACUCGGGGUGAAUAGUUCACCUCCUCCACGGCAUAAUUUUAGUUCGGGUUGUCCCCGUCGGAGCCAACAGCUGAGCCGCGCCCACCUUCGGUCCCCCCGCGCACCGCCCGCACAUGGGAAGGCUGGCGCUUACCUGCCUCGGCGGGAGGGGCACCGGGACACGGCCACGCCAGGAGUGUCCCCAGCUCCGCCCCGAGUGCCGCGGGGCCUCCCCGCUCCGUGUGGCCGUCGAGGAACCCCGAUAAGAAAAGGCUGCUCCUGGAAAUGCUUGAGACUGAGCAUCAGGGAGCGGCUUUAAACGAGCAAGCAAAAAAAAAGAGGGAAAAAAAAAGCCCCCCUCCGACCUCUGAUUGAAGGACAGUUAAAAAUAAUUGCCCGUGUUAAGAGGCAGAGGGGGAGGUAACGAGGAAAACUGCCUUCUUUCAAAGCCCGCUAAUGGCCAUGGCCAUGCGAUUCAUUAGGUCACUUAAUCCUAAUAGACCCUCUGGCAUCUGCGCCGCUGACCCGGCGCGCCGAGCACCACCAGCGCAGCCCCAUCAAACAGGGCAAUGCCCCACGCCGAGCUCCUGAACCGCCGUGUGCGGGGAGAGGGCUGUGGGCAGCGCUGGGGCAGAGCGGGGCUCCGGCCGCUGCCCCUCUCGCAGCCAAACGAUGGCUCUGGUUGUGGCGUUUUCCCCCUCCCAUUAAACAUCAGCCUCGGAGACCGCGCAGUGUCACCCCGAGCGCACGGGGUCGAAGAGAGCCACUCUUGACCGGUGCCGUCGCUCCGCUGCUGCAGCUGACAAAGCCUCAUUAUUAAAUACUCCUUCCUUCCUUCCUUCCUUCCUUCCUUCCUUCCUUCCUUCCUUCCUUCCUUCCUUCCUUCCUUCCUUCCUUCCUUCCUUCCUUCCUCCCUCCCUCCCUCCCUCCCUCCCUUCCUCUCCUUCUUCCUUUCCUUCUUUCCUUCUCUGUAUUUAUCUCCCUUUCUCUCUUUUCUUUUCCCUUUUUCCUCCCUCCCUCCCUCCCUCCCUCCCUCCCUCUCCUUCUUCCUUUCCUUUCCUUCUCUGUAUUUAUCUCUCUCUCUCUCCCUUUUCUUUUCCCUUUUUCCUCAAGGGCUUUUUCUUUUAACUUGUAAAAUGUUGUUCUGCCAUGGAACUUGUCAUAACAGGAGCUUGUUCUCUUUAUUGAGUUAUUUAUUUUUCUAACGCACAACAAUAUCCCCAAUGCGAUCCUUUGAUGGAGUUUCCAAACGGGAGAAUGGGAGAAAAAAUUCUGCAGAGAAAGAGGAGGAGAGAGGGGGAAAGAGGGGAAGAAGGGAGGAAAAAAAGAAGGGACGGAGGGAGGGAAGGAAGGAGGGAGGGAGGUAGGGAGGUAGGGAGGUAGGGAGGUAGGGAGGUAGGGAGGUAGGGAGGAAGGAAGGAAGGAAGGAAGGAAGGAAGGAAGGAAGGAAGGAAGGAAGGAAGGAAGGAAGGAAGGAAGGAAGGAAGGAAGGAGACUAAGAGAGAAAGAGGGAAAGAAAGAGAGAGAAAGAUAGGAAAGGAGAGAGAGGGAAAGGAAGAAAUGAAGGAAGAAAGGAAGAGAGAAAGAGAAAAAGGAAAAGAGCAGCACAGGCCGGCCCUUCCAAAUUAAAACAAGAAGCCCCGAAGUUUUCUUUUUGGUAUUAAUAUUAUUUAACAUUUAAAAAUCCGGGAACUUCAAACAAACUUUCUGCAGGGAAAAGAAAGAGCAAAGAUCUGUUCUCUGGAAACCAUUUGUUCACAACUCGAACUGUGCCAUUUUGGCUUCGUAACAAAACUGAAGGCGCCCAGCCCUGCUCCCCCCCCCCACUCCUCCCCCCCGGCAUAUAUCUUUUCAGCACACAUUUUAAAAUAAAUAUUCUUACGAGGCUUUCCAGAAUGCCUCCUUGUUAUGAAUUGAUAGGAUACAACAUCCCGCAGCUGCGCCUGGAAGUCGAGAUUCGGUCCCUUCAACACCGGCACAACAUCUGCGGGGAAAACCAUUACCGCUGCUCCCUCCGCCCCGCGGCCGCGGAUGGCAGCGCGCUGCCGGGGGAGGGCCGGGCCGUGGGCACGGGGAGCCGCUCCGUGCAGCCGGGCGGCCCCCUCGGAUGUCGAGCAUAGAAAGUGGCCCUUUUCCCCCCUUUUUAAAAUAUAUAUCUUCAUUUUUUUUCCCCCGUCUCUUUCCUCGAGCCCUUUUAACAUUACCAAUCUUCCCGUCCCGCUGCUCAGCAAGUAAAAAUAAACCCAAGCACGCUCAGUAAAGCCGUCCCUGCAGAUUUUAAGAAAAAAAUAAUAAUAAUAACUAAUAAACAGACCCAGGGGUCUAUUCGGGUGUCUCCAGCCUGAGAAACGCGGGCCGAAUCCUCCCGGGUUCUGGUCCCGCUCUAGGAUGAAUUCAGCCUUCAGGACAUUUUCGCAGCGCAUUCGCUCAGCGAGGCUUUCCUGCUGAGAAAUGCCGUCCGCCGACAGCGUUUAUUAUUUACGAAAGCAGAAAGCAUUUGCUCUGUGAUCUCCAGCUUACAGCAGGUGCCAGAGCUCUCUUCGGGGCCGUACGUUCGUGCGUCUAUAUAUACGCACCGUGAAAUAAAGCGGCCGCUUUGUCUUAUUUAAAACCAAAAGAAACAACAGAGAAAUGCUGAGGUUUUAAACGCUUCCUAUGUUUAUACGGCUUAGGCUCGGUCCGAAUGGAUUCUGCGUCAUUAUCAUGUUUCAACCUCUGUUUUCUCGGUGGUUUUAACGAGAUGCUUUGGUGCGAACUGCGCUGCCCGUCCUUCCUAAGCUGCGCUCCUCGGUCGGGUUAUAUUUGUACAUAUGGUGCGUGUAUGUGUGUAUGGUGCGUGUAUGUUUGUGCACGGUGUAUGCGUUAGAGUUGCACAGGUCGGAAGUAACUGCGUUCCCCAAACAGAGGAUGAGGUGCCAGCGCUUCACUGAAAGUGCAACGCUGAAUAUCACGGGAUUGACAUCUAUCGCCUCGAUCGCCCAUCAAAGGCCAAAACAAAACGGUAUCGCUGAGCGCACGGCUGAAGAGAUUGACCUCAACAGAGGAACGCGUCGCAGUCGUUGUGCCUCCUCACCUCCGCGCACCCAGCGCGAUGAGUCCAGCCUUAAUGACUCCAUAUUCCUUUCCCGUCGCCACACUCCAGCCACCCCCCCGGCUCUCCCCAGCCAGCAGCCAGCCGACCCCUCCAGAUGGCGCCCCGGGAGGGAGCAGAGCCCACAGAGAGCCGCGGGCUGAGCCCCGUGACGCGGGGCGAUGCCCUCACCCACCCCCGUGCGCUCCAACUCCCGCAGCCGGAGCGCAGCGCAGCAGCAGCGCCUCACUGUGAGACUCGGGGGGGGGUUCACCUGGGAGAACUCCGGGCCGUUACAAAAACGCGUCCGGGGACUGUUUGUUGCAGAUCCCCCCGACCCGACAGGCACCGGGCGGGAGCGGAGCCCGGGGCUGCCCUGCGGGGCGAGAGGGGCCCUCGUCCCACCCCUCCGACAUAGGUGCAACGACGGAAAACGGCUUCAAAAAGACUCAAUAGCCACAGGGUCAGGCCGAGCCGCGCGGCCCGUGUAGCAGAAGCAGCGGAGGGCCGUCUGGGUGCGCGGCCCGGUGCGGCCGGGAGCCCACGGGAGCGUCCCGGGACAGCCGCUGUUCGCCGCUCCGCGCUGCUCUCCUUUUUCCUUUCGUCUCUAUGCCAGAGCGCUGGAAAGAAUUAAAUUCUUUAAAGGUUCGCAUUUGAAACCGUGACUGGAGUAAACUAAGGAUCAGGUGUAAAUAAUUACCAACGUCAGGAAAGCAGCGACUGCUGCGUGUGGUUUAUUCAUCGUUUUUUUUUUUUUUUUUCCCUUUUCUCUUUUGAAUCGUUUGAUCAUUUCCAUCCUGAACUGUUUGCCAAAUUCACGUCUCCUUAACGUGCUGAGAGCCCUCUGGUGCCCACAGCCCGGAUCGGGUCGGUACCAUCCGUGCUGACCGAAGGACGCUGCCCGUUCGCAAACGCCACCAGAGCCUCUCGGCUGACGGCGGCGUGGAGCACGUGAGUUACGGAGCACAAUAAAUGGUUCGAAUACAACGGAGCCAAAAUCGAACGGGAGAGCUCCGCGGGGCGGGACAGGCGGGGUUCGGCCCGAACGCACGGAAAUGGAAGCAACCGUGGAACAAAAGCCGCCGAGAAAAGGGAGAAACGCGGCCACAGAUCAUAAUCCAUACAAACAAAAGCCCGGGGCUGAUCCCACCCUUCCAUCCGCGUUCACUUCUGCCCGCGUCCACCUCUCUUUUUGCCUACUCUGCAGUUGGAACCCGUUUGUCUCUUCAGAAAGCCGCGGUGGGAAAAAGGCAGAGAAAGGACUUCUUUCUCGUGUGUGUCCUCUUUUAAAAUCUCCCUGCACACCGAGACACCACCGGAGCAUGUUCUGGUGCUGUAAACGUGUUUUUAUCACGCCGUAAAUUCCUGCCCCUCUGACAGAGCGGCCGGAAAUGUAAAUCACACCGUGGAGCUGAAGUUAUGAAGAAGUUCGUUACGUUUCUGCGUCCUAAGGAGGAUCGCGGCUCUGCGGGGUCGGUGGAGGGGGGGCUGGGGAAGGGGGGGGGGGGGGGGAAGGGGGGGCUGGGUGAGGUUGUUUCCUAUUCUCCCGCUCCGCCGAACUGUGGCUCCGCGGUGCCGGGGACUUUGAUGGGAAGGAGCGGACAAUGUGCAGAGUCCCUGCCUGUGACACCCAGGCCACCGCCACUUGGGAGGUCUUUCGGCCUAAUGCAUCCACAGCUAACUGCUCCCAACAGGAGGCUCUGCGGAUCAGCCGGGGUCACAAUUACACUUCUGCUAAAGGCAGGGGCUUAAAGAAAAAAAAAAAUGGAGGGAGAGAGAGAGGAAAGAGGGCUGGGCGAGCGGUGGAAUUAAAGCUUCUCACUUCAUCUGAGGAAGGAAAGGCCGAGAGCGAGCGAGGAUAGCAGGACUCGUUCACAUGAGGCGUACGCGGGGGGGAGGUGGGAUCGCUCCGUCGCGGAGGCCGUGUGCCCGGGGACCGCCUGGCCGGAGGGCUGAGACGGCACCGCGCCGCCGUGGGGGGGGG